rnacentral:rRNA from 1 species
ACAGGGGAAUAACGCCGAAGGCACAAAAAUAAAAAAUACGAGCUUACCCACACAACUCUGGAGCAUGCGGAUAAUUUUGAAGCAACGAGAAGAUCCUUUACUGGUCUUGACAUCCUCUGAAAUCCCUAGAGAUAGGGUUCUCCUUCGGGAGCAGAGUGACAGGUGGUGCAUGGUUGUCGUCAGCUCGUGUCGUGAGAUGUUGGGUUAAGUCCCGCAACGAGCGCAACCCUUGAUCUUAGUUGCCAUCAUUAAGUUGGGCACUCUAAGGUGACUGCCGGUGACAAACCGGAGGAAGGUGGGGAUGACGUCAAAUCAUCAUGCCCCUUAUGACCUGGGCUACACACGUGCUACAAUGGACGGUACAAAGAGCUGCAAGACCGCGAGGUGGAGCUAAUCUCAUAAAACCGUUCUCAGUUCGGAUUGUAGGCUGCAACUCGCCUACAUGAAGCUGGAAUCGCUAGUAAUCGCGGAUCAGCAUGCCGCGGUGAAUACGUUCCCGGGCCUUGUACACACCGCCCGUCACACCACGAGAGUUUGUAACACCCGAAGUCGGUGGGGUAACCUUUUGGAGCCAGCCGCAUAAGGUGAACAAGUUG